AAGAUUAAGCCAUGCAUGUCUAAGUAUAAGCACUUUAUACUGCGAAACUGCGAAUGGCUCAUUAAAUCAGUUAUAGUUUAUUUGAUAGUACCUUACUACUUGGAUAACCGUGGUAAUUCUAGAGCUAAUACAUGCUUCCAACCCCGACUCACGAAGGGGUGUAUUUAUUAGAUACAAAACCAACGCGGGCGACCGCUUCUUUGGUGAUUCAUAAUAACUUCUCGAAUCGCAU
rnacentral:rRNA from 1 species